GGGGUACAUGUACAGUUUUGUUACACUGCAUAUUGAUGAAGUCUGGACUUUUAGUGUACCCAUCACCCAAGUUAUGAACAUUGUACCCAAGAGAAAAAAAGGUUUACCACAGUGGCUCAAGGAAAACGGAACCAGAGUAAGACAGUUUCUACUUGGACUUGGGGAACCAGCAAACUCAUUCACUUACAAUCAAGAACAAACCGAUUAAAUUGAAUAAAGGUCACUCAAAGGAGCCAAGCCCCUUUGUCAAAUCAGGAGCUCCAUCAGCCAAUCAGGAACCCAGAUGCCAGCGUGGGAGUUUGUCAGUGGAAAUAACAUUGCAUGACUUCCAAGUCUGGUUUCUUCAUUUGCAAGAUAUCAACCCAAUAGGAUUGUGACUGAAAUCAAAUGAGGCACCCAAGUCUAAUAUGAGAAAAACAUGAGAAAAAUUCCAGGAGGGGGACAUUCUACAAAAUACCUGACCAGUACAUCUCAAAAUUGUCACGAUCAUCAACAAGGAAAGAUUGAGAUACUGUCAUAGCCAAGAGACGCCAAAGGAAAAAUGACAACUAAAUGUAAUGUGGUAUCCUGGAUAAGAUCCUGGAAUGGAAUAGAAAAUGGGCAUUGGGUAGAAACUGAAUAAAGUAGAGACUUUAGUUAAUAACAGUAUGUUGAUGUUGGUUUAAUAAUUGUAACAAAGGUACCAUAUUAAUGUAAGAUGUUAACAAUCAGAGUAACUGGAUUCAGGGUAUAUGGAAACUUUCCAUUCUAUUUUCUUAAUUUUUCUAUGAAUCUAAAACCAAAAACUAAAGUCUACUUAAAAAAAAAAUCACAGGAGGCAACAUACAUAAAAGCAUAUAGUUGGUGCUCCAUAAUGUAACCUCUUCUUUUCUGGGCAGUGUGGAAAAACAAACUGUUGUUCAUGUCUUCUGGGAUCUUUUGCCCCUUUCUAAUCCAACCAGAAAGGUUCUGGGGAGAAUGUAAGUCAUCUCUAUAUUCUCAUCUGCAGGUAGCCAGGGGUGAGAAUAGCUACAUUUACUUAAGUUUAGUCUGUGGAGUAGUUUCUGCUACAGAAUGAUUCUUGUUAGACCCUGUAAGAGUUCUUUUGGCUCAGGUCCCCAGAAAAUAAAUUUACAAACCCUUAAAUCAGUUCAACGUAUCAGGAACGGCCAUAUAAAUCCAUUCUCGUUGUUUGCAAGAAACUAUUGUACGUUAAAAUAUUUAAGAUUAGGAACGAGACCUAUAUAAAAAUGUUUCUAAGAAAACUUUUUCCUAAACAUAAUAUAUAAGCUAUUUAGACUGCUUCACGUGCCCAGGAUAGAGUUACCCUUUUUUUUUUUU
rnacentral:lncRNA from 1 species